rnacentral:rRNA from 1 species
GAUGAACGCUAGCGGCAGGCUUAAUACAUGCAAGUCGAGGGGCAGCACAGGUAGCAAUACUGGGUGGCGACCGGCAAACGGGUGCGGAACACGUACACAACUUACCUUAGAGUGGGGACUAGCCCAGGGAAACUUGGCUUAAUACCGCAUAAAAGAGGGGGCCCGCAGGGGCAUAUUGUUAAAGAUUUAACGCGGUAAGAUGGGAGUGCGUAUGAUUAGGUAGUUGGUAGGGUAAAGGCCUACCAAGCCGACGAGCAUUAACUGGUGUGAGAGCACGACCAGUCACACGGGCACUGAGACACGGGCCCGACUCCUACGGGAGGCAGCAGUAAGGAAUAUUGGUCAAUGGACGGAAGUCUGAACCAGCCAUGCCGCGUGAAGGAUGAAGGUCCUCUGGAUUGUAAACUUCUUUUAUAGGGGGCGAAAAAGGGCCAUUCUUGGUCAACUGACGGUACCCUAUGAAUAAGCACCGGCUAACUCCGUGCCAGCCGCCGCCGUAAGAC